rnacentral:rRNA from 1 species
UACGGGGGGGGCAAGCGUUGUUCGGAAUUACUGGGCGUAAAGGGCUCGUAGGUGGCCAACUAAGUCAGACGUGAAAUCCCUCGGCUUAACCGGGGAACUGCGUCUGAUACUGGAUGGCUUGAGUUCGGGAGAGGGAUGCGGAAUUCCAGGUGUAGCGGUGAAAUGCGUAGAUAUCUGGAGGAACACCGGUGGCGAAGGCGGCAUCCUGGACCGACACUGACGCUGAGGCGCGAAAGCUAGGGGAGCAAACAGG